CCGAGUUCAUGCCCUUACGGGUAGAUCUCCCACCCUAUGUUAUUAUUACCUUUGUUGCUUUGGCGGGCCGUCAGAUCUCGGUCAGGCUACCGGCUCCGGCUGGUAAGCGCCCGCCAGAGGCCCGACAAAUUCUGAUUGUCAGUGUCGUCUGAGUACUAUAUAAUAGUUA
rnacentral:misc_RNA from 1 species